GAUGAACGCUAGCUACAGGCUUAACACAUGCAAGUUGAGGGGAAACGAUAGAGAAAGCUUGCUUUUUCUAGGCGUCGACCGGCGCACGGGUGAGUAACGCGUAUCCAACCUGCCCAUCACUUGGGGAUAACCUUGCGAAAGUAAGACUACUACCCAAUGACGUCUCUAGAAGACAUCUGAAAGAGAUUAGAGAUUUAUCGGUGAUGGAUGGGGAUGCGUGUGAUUAGCUUGGUGGCGGGGUAACGGCCCACCAAGGCGACGAUCAGUAGGGGUUCUGAGAGGAAGGUCCCCCACAUUGGAACUGAGACACGGUCCAAACUCCUACGGGAGGCAGCAGUGAGGAAUAUUGGUCAAUGGGCGAGAGCCUGAACCAGCCAAGUAGCGUGCAGGAUGACGGCCCUAUGGGUUGUAAACUGCUUUUAUAAGGGAAUAAAGUGGGAGUCGUGACUCUUUUUGCAUGUACCUUAUGAAUAAGGACCGGCUAAUUCCGUGCCAGCCGCCGCGGUAA
rnacentral:rRNA from 1 species